GAGAGUAUAGCUCAGUGGUAGAGCACAUGCUUAGCAUGCAUGAGGUCCUGGGCUCAAUCUUCAGUACUGCCG
rfam:Camelus ferus unplaced genomic scaffold scaffold750, whole genome shotgun sequence.